AUGUCGGAAUCUUGUCAUGUUGGACUAAACCAUUGUCUUGUUUUUCCUAGGAUGGUCAACACCCGCAACAACCCUGCUCCCCCAGAGCAGGCCGAAGGUAGCAGAGUUGGGGAUACAAAUCUGCCUCACCCUCCCUCUCUGGCAGAAGUUAUGCUAGAGGCUGAGAGAAACAAGCGGGAGACCAACCGUUUGUUGGAGCGUAUUGAACAGAACACAACACACCAUCAGAGGACUAACUUGGUGUCACUCAGUGAUUUCAUCAAGUUACAUCCACCCACGUUCCACCACUCCGUCGAGCCUCUCGACGCUGAUGACUGGCUUCGCAGUAUUUCUCACAAACUGCGUUCUGCGCUCGUAGCUAAGGCUGAUAGGGUCACCUUUGCUGCAUAUCAUCUCGAAGGCCCUGCCAGUCUCUGGUGGGAGAAUUAUGAAGCUAUGCGUCCAGCGGGCCACGUCACUACUUGGGCUGAAUUCAGCGAGGCUUUCCGUGAACAUCACAUUCCGGAGGGUCUCAUGGACCGUAAACGCGAGGAGUUCUGUAGUUUCACUCAAGGUCGACUCUCUGUUGACGCUUACAGCAGGGAGUUUGGUAACCUUGCCCGUUAUGCAACGGAGGAAGUUUCUACUGAUGCUAAGAAGCAGGCAAGGUUCCGUAAGGGGCUUAGUCCUGAGCUUCGCCGCGACCUCCGUCUGCAUGAGUGCACAUCUUUUCAGAAGCUUGUUAACAAAGCCAUCAGUGCUGAGACUGGUCAGACUGAUUAUGAAGCAACACGCAAGCAUGGUCGUGACUUGGGUUCCUCAUCCGGUGCUGGUCCUCAGAAGCACCGCGUGUGGGUGCCUAACACUACCCUGCCACCUAGGUUCACACCGAGGCCAUCCUUCCAGGCGCCUCGCCCAGCUCAGCCAUAUGCACUAGCCAAGCCCUAUGGUGGUCCAACCAACAAUGCUCCUCCACAUACCAGUUCCGUGACUUGUUUCAAGUGUGGGGAAUCAGGCCACUAUAUGCGCGAGUGUCCCCAAACCAACCCCAACCAGACAGCAAAAACUGUUGGCCGCGGCAAGCCGACAGGGAAAGUGUCCUACGCCAAGCCGGCCACCACUGCCCGUGGCCAUGUUAAUUGUGUUUCUGCGGAAGAGGCUCAAGAAGAUCCCAACGUCGUUCUCGGUACUCUCCUUGUUAAUUGCCACCCGGCAUCUAUUCUUUUCGAUACAGGAGCAUCUCAUUCAUUUAUAUCCGAGAGCUAUGCUCGUCUGCAUAACGCCACAUUCUGUGAGAUGCCCACCUCUAUGGUAAUUCAAACUCCGGGAUCCAAAUGGCAAACUUCUAGAGUAAGCCAUGGAAAUGAAAUUCAAGUCGACAAACUUGUUUUUCUCGCAUCUUUGAUAGCCCUCAAAUCUUCGGAUAUUAAUAUCAUCUUGGGUAUGGACUGGAUGUCAGCCCAUCAUGCCAAAAUUGAUUGCUUAUCUAGGACUGUUCAACUCACCCAUCCUUCGGGGAAGAUAGUCAAUGUCUUGACCCGAAUAGCCAAGCGACAGUUAUAUUCUCUUAACGCCAGCCCUUUGCCAGACCUUGAGGAUGUUCCGGUAGUCCGUGACUUUCCGGAUGUCUUCCUAGAGGAAUUGCCAGGUGUUCCACCUGACAGAGAUGUCGAAUUCGUGAUAGAUCUCAUUCCAGGAACUGUCCCGAUUUCCAGAAGACCCUACAAGAUGGCACCUUUUGAACUAGCCGAGCUUAAGAAACAACUCGAUGAGUCCUUGAAAAAGGGUUUCAUCCGACCUAGUUCAUCUCCUUGGGCUUGCCCCGUCCUCUUCGUCGAGAAGAAGGAUGGUACGGACCGGAUGGUUGUAGAUUAUCGACCUGUCAACUUGGUCACAAUUAAGAACAAGUAUCCGCUCCCCAGGAUCAACGACCUGUAUGAUCAGCUCGCUGGAUCCUCAGUCUUCUCUAAAAUGGAUUUGAGGUUGGGCUACCAUCAAAUCAAAAUCAGAAACGGGGGCAUUCCGAAAACGGCCUUUGUUACUCAUUAUGGCCAAUACGAGUACACCGUCAUGUCCUUCGGUUUAACCAACGCUCCAGCCACCUUCUCUCGGUUGAUGAACUCAAUCUUCAUGGAGUAUUUGGAUAAAUUCGUCGUGGUUUACCUCGAUGAUAUACUCAUCUACUCCAAGAACGAGGAAGAACAUGCCGAACACCUAAGGCUAGUGUUGAAGAAACUUCGAGAGCAUCGCCUUUAUGCCAAAUUUUCUAAAUGUGAAUUCUGGUUGUCAGAAGUGACCUAUCUUGGACAUGUAAUUUCUGGUAAAGGCAUUGCUGUUAACCCUGAGCGAGUUCAAGCCGUCCUUAAUUGGACUCCACCUGAAUCGGUCAAGCAAGUUCGGAGUUUCCUUGGCCUAGCGAGCUAUUGCCGUCGCUUUGUCGAGAAUUUCUCCAAAGUUGCCAAACCUCUAACUGAACUCCUCAAGAAAGAUAAAAAGUUUGAGUGGACUCCACAAUUUGAGCACAGUUUCCAGGAACUGAGAAGACGUUUAACCUCUGCUCCCGUACUGGUACCACCGGAUUUUUCCAAGGAUUUUGUUAUCUACUGCGACGCCUCGCGACAAGGACUAGGUUGCAUUCUCAUGCAAGAUCGACACGUAAUUGCUUACGCUUCACGGCAAUUGCACCCACAUGAGGAGAAUUAUCCUACUCAUGAUCUAGAGCUUGCAGCUGUAGUCCAUGCACUCAAAACAUGGCGACAUUACCUUCUCGGUAAUCGUUGCGAAAUCUACACUGAUCACCAAAGUCUGAAGUAUAUAUUCACCCAACCGGAUUUAAAUCUCAGGCAAAGACGUUGGGUCGAGUUGAUCACAGAUUUCGACUUAGGAAUAACUUACACCCCAGGGAAAGCCAACGUCAUGGCUGAUGCGCUAAGUCGUAAAUCUUAUUGUAACAACCUGAUGUUACAACAAAGUCAGCCGCUUCUCCAUGAGGAAUUUCGGAAGCUUAACCUUCACAUUGUUCCUCAAGGAUUUCUUUCCACCUUGGUGGCAAAACCUACUCUUACGGAUCAAAUCAUUGCUGCCCAAAAGCGAGAUAAGGGAAUAUCUAAGAUCAAGGAGAACAUUGCUAGCGGAGGUGCUAGAUGUUUCUCCACAAAUGAUCAUGGUGUUGUGUACUUUGAGAACCGUUUAGUGGUUCCCAAGAACCAGCAUCUACGGCAGUUGAUCCUUAAGGAGGCUCAUGAAUCUCCUCUCACCAUUCAUCCCGGUAGUACCAAGAUGUAUCAGGACCUACGCCAGAGGUUCUGGUGGACUAGGAUGAAGAGAGAAAUUGCUCAGUAUAUUGCUAAUUGCGACGUCUGCCGUCGUGUAAAAGCAGAGCAUCAACGGCCUGCUGGCACCCUUCAACCCCUAGCUAUUCCUGAAUGGAAAUGGGAUAAAAUUGGUAUGGACUUCAUUACCGGUUUUCCCAGGACCAAGAGAGGGAAUAACGCUAUCUUCGUCGUUAUCGACCGUCUUUCCAAAGUGGCCCAUUUCUUAACUGUUCGUGAGAGUAUAACUGCUAGUCAGUUAGCAGAGUUGUACAUCUCUCGAAUAGUGUCUCUCCAUGGUGUUCCUUUGGAAAUUAACUCGGAUCGAGGAAGUCUUUUCACCUCUCGAUUUUGGGAAAGUUUCCAAAAUGCUAUGGGAACCCGCCUUUCUUUUAGUACCACUUUCCACCCUCAAUCAAGUGGUCAAGUGGAACGCGUCAACCAGAUUCUAGAAGACAUGCUUCGAGCCUCUAUUAUCUCAUUCGGAAUGGAUUGGGAGAAGUGCCUUCCAUUUGCCGAAUUUGCUUAUAACAACAGCUAUCAAUCCAGCUUGGGCAAAGCCCCUUUUGAAGUUCUCUAUGAACGAAGGUGUCGAACGCCUCUUAACUGGUCAGAAACCGGGGAAAGACAAUUCUUUGGCCCGGAUAUGAUUCAGGAAGCAGAAGAGCAAGUUCGCAUCCUUCGUGAAAAGUUGAAAACAGCCCAAUCUCGUCAAAAGAGUCAAUAUGACCGAAAACAUAAGGCUAUGACUUUUGAGGUUGACGAGAAGGCUUACCUUUGGGUUACUCCUCUGAAGGGAACCCAUCGCUUCGGUAUCAAGGGCAAAUUGGCUCCUCGUUACAUUGGACCUUUUCACAUUCUCGCAAAACGAGGAGAAGUUGCCUACCAAUUGGAACUACCUCCGCAUCUCUCCAGAGUCCACGACGUCUUCCACGUUUCUCAACUCAGGCGUUGCUUCUCGGAUCCUAUCCGUGGAGUAGACCACGAAACGCUUGAUCUCCAAGAUAAUCUCACGUAUCGAGAGUACCCCGUUCGUAUCCUCGAUCAAGCUGAGCGUACCACUCGACGUCAUAAUAUCAAGUUUCUCAAGGUUCAAUGGUCGCACCAUUCUGAGAAUGAAGCAACUUGGGAAAGGGAGGAUCAUCUUCGACUCGAGUAUCCUGCCUUCUUCCCGGAGGAACCCAAAUCUCGGGACGAGAUUCUUUUGAGUGGGGGU
rnacentral:rRNA from 1 species